CUCUUUUUUCUUUCCUAAUGGCGAUAAGAGAAAUAACUAUUAGAUGCAAUUCAUUUAUUACAAACAUUGCAAUACAAAGGAAUCAAAAGAGAAAUAAUAGUAUUAAUAUCAGCAGUACUUUAAAAUUAUGUUUAUAUUAUUUUCAAAUCAGUCCUUCCAAAAUACAAUAUCAAUUUGUGUUUUUGGUUUCAAUUUAAACAAAUAAUGUACAAUUUUUAACCCCAAUUUAGAAAGUUUACAUAUUUUUAUUUCACAUUUUAGAUAACACUUUUUUUCUCAAGAUAUUAGAUUUGGUAACUGAGAUGAGGACUAAUGAACUGAUUAAACUCAGACAAUUUCUGUUUUAAAACUCAGAUCCAAGAUAAAAAAAAAAUUGACCGUAAGAUUUCAUUCUACUCCUCCACAUUUUUUCAAAGUACAGAACAAUUUUUACUUAGCUCGAUUUGACAGACUGUCCCUUCUAGGAAGCAGGUAAGCAGGUGUUUCAAGGUCAGAGCUAAGGAUUGUUGGCAGAAAUGUGAGGGGAAGUCCACAGAACACCAGCCAAUAGGCAUUUGGCUUCUAUCCCUCAGUUUCACCACCACAAAUUUCAUUCACUGAUAAUUUUCUAAAGGUGAACUUAUUACUGCCUCUGCAAAUCUUUAUAAAUGAUUCAGGUGCUGCAAAGGGAAAUUAUGUCUAGCAUAAGACACAAUCUCUGACAUUGAAGAACUUACAAUUGAAUUGAGGAAAUAACAUAUCUCCGGACAACUUAACAAGAAGAAGAGCUUUGAAUAAGUAAGGAUAGGUUCCUUUGCAUCCAGUGGAAAGACUUAAAUGCCGAAAUACUCAUUGAGUAACGCACUGGAUCAUUCCACAGGGUCUGCCUUUUGACUUCAACUAGCUCUAGUAUCAGAAGAGUAACUGGCUCACUGGAUUCCCUCUGCCUAGACUACCCUUCCCCUUAUUUUCAUAUUGCUAAUCCUCUUACCUCAUUCAAGUCUUUUCUCAAAUGUCCUUUAAAUGUGGUCUACCAUGGCCAUCAUAUUUAAAAUGUAAACCCUUAGCCCAUUUAAGAUGUCCAUGAUUUUCUUCUAUUGUACUCUAUUUUUGCUCCUUACCGUAUCUUAUCCACAAGGAUACUAUGUAGUUUACAUAUUCAACUGUCUAACCUUAGUCCUUCUGAGAUAAAAGAAGCUCCACCAUAGAACAGGGAUUCUUCUAUGUUUGUUCAGUGUAGGAUAAUUAACACGUAGUGUAUAUUCUGUAAAUAUUCACUGGAAAAAUAAAUAAAUGCCUUCUUCUUAAGCCAACAGUCACUCUUCUUUCUAAGCCUCAAGGAAAAGUAUAUCUUAAAUAUCUUAUUUUAUAAAAACAUUCAAAUAGGGAAAAUAUAUUUUUAAAAAACAGUAUGAAAAAACUCAUACCAAAAAUAUAUUUGGCUUACUAAACUUAUGAGUUCAAAUAAAUUCUUUAAAAUGAGAGAGACACUUCAGCAUGAACAAAAAGCAAAAUCCCACAGGAGGCCAGAUCACUUAAAGCAAGGAGUUCCA
rnacentral:lncRNA from 10 species